AAAACUUUCAACAACGGAUCUCUUGGUUCUGGCAUCGAUGAAGAACGCAGCGAAAUGCGAUAAGUAAUGUGAAUUGCAGAAUUCAGUGAAUCAUCGAAUCUUUGAACGCACAUUGCGCCCCUCGGUAUCCCGGGGGGCAUACCUGUUCGAGCGUCAUUA
rnacentral:rRNA from 2 species